rnacentral:rRNA from 1 species
AUUGAACGCUGGCGGCAGGCUUAACACAUGCAAGUCGAGCGGGGGAAGGUAGCUUGCUACCGGACCUAGCGGCGGACGGGUGAGUAAUGCUUAGGAAUCUGCCUAUUAGUGGGGGACAACAUCUCGAAAGGGAUGCUAAUACCGCAUACGUCCUAUGGGAGAAAGCAGGGGAUCUUCGGACCUUGCGCUAAUAGAUGAGCCUAAGUCGGAUUAGCUAGUUGGUGGGGUAAAGGCCUACCAAGGCGACGAUCUGUAGCGGGUCUGAGAGGAUGAUCCGCCACACUGGGACUGAGACACGGCCCAGACUCCUACGGGAGGCAGCAGUGGGGAAUAUUGGACAAUGGGGGGAACCCUGAUCCAGCCAUGCCGCGUGUGUGAAGAAGGCCUUAUGGUUGUAAAGCACUUUAAGCGAGGAGGAGGCUACUUUAGUUAAUACCUAGAGAUAGUGGACGUUACUCGCAGAAUAAGCACCGGCUAACUCUGUGCCAGCAGCCGCGGUAA